rnacentral:lncRNA from 1 species
AUUUACAUUAACAAGAUACUCAGAUACUACAGAUGUGGACAUGUUAACUCCUUCUUUCAGGAUAAACUGAGGAUGGGCAAUAUAUUAGAAACUUUGUGUUACUCUUCUAAAGUUUUGGUUUUUUUUUUUUAACUUACAAAUACUAUCUGAAAGAAAAACAUUUGCUCACAGGAAAAUGUUUUUGUUAUUUAAUUACAAAACAAUUAGCUAAAUUACUGUGUCGCCUAGCAGCAAAAUGAAAUCAAUGUGCCAAAACCUUGAAAAUGCUUGUUCAUUCUAAAUAUUUCUUGGGUCAUCCAGAUAGUCUAUAACAAAGGUAGCACAUAAAGGAAAUCAGAAUGAUGAGGGUCAAUACGAGUGGUGAAGACCUCAGAUUCCCUAAGGGUAUACAGUUCUGGGUCAGCUCCCAGGAGUCUGAGUCCAAAAAGAAGCAGGUCUAGCCAUUCCUAACUAACCUCUAGGUCAUUCU